rnacentral:rRNA from 1 species
GGCGAAGUGAAGCGGCAAAAGCUCAAAUUUGAAAUCUGGCUCUUUCAGAAGUCCGAGUUGUAAUUUGAAGAAGGUAUCUUUGGGUCUGGCUCUUGUCUAUGUUUCUUGGAACAGAACGUCACAGAGGGUGAGAAUCCCGUGCGAUGAGAUGAUCCAGGCCUAUGUAAAGUUCCUUCGAAGAGUCGAGUUGUUUGGGAAUGCAGCUCUAAGUGGGUGGUAAAUUCCAUCUAAAGCUAAAUAUUGGCGAGAGACCGAUAGCGAACAAGUACAGUGAUGGAAAGAUGAAAAGAACUUUGAAAAGAGAGUGAAAAAGUACGUGAAAUUGUUGAAAGGGAAGGGCUUGAGAUCAGACUUGGUAUUUUGUAUGUUACUUCUUCGGGGGUGGCCUCUACAGUUUAUCGGGCCAGCAUCAGUUUGGGCGGUAGGAGAAUUGCGUUGGAAUGUGGCACGGCUUCGGUUGUGUGUUAUAGCCUUCGUCGAUACUGCCAGCCUAGACUGAGGACUGCGGUUUAUACCUAGGAUGUUGGCAUAAUGAUCUUAAGUCGCCCGUCUUG